GGACCCGCACAAGUAGUGGAGCAUGUGGUUUAAUUCGAAGAUACGCGCAGAACCUUACCAACACUUGACAUGUUCGUCGCGACUUUAAGAGAUUAAAGUUUUCGGUUCGGCCGGACGAAACACAGGUGCUGCAUGGCUGUCGUCAGCUCGUGUCGUGAGAUGUUGGGUUAAGUCCCGCAACGAGCGCAACCCUCACUUUUAGUUGCCAUCAUUAAGUUGGGCACUCUGAAAGAACUGCCAGUGAUAAGCUGGAGGAAGGUGGGGAUGACGUCAAGUCCUCAUGGCCCUUACGUGUUGGGCUACACACGUGCUACAAUGGUAUCUACAACAGGAAGCAAAACGGCGACGUUAAGCAAAUCUUUAAAACCGAUCUCAGUUCGGAUCGCAGUCUGCAACUCGACUGCGUGAAGCUGGAAUCGCUAGUAAUCG
rnacentral:rRNA from 1 species